UACGUAGGGGCCGAGCGUUGUCCGGAGUUAUUGGGCGUAAAGCGCGCGCAGGCGGCCUCGCGCGCCCGACGUGAAAGCCCCCGGCUUAACCGGGGAGAGUCGUUGGGGACGGCGGGGCUUGAGGGCGGGAGAGGUCGGUGGAAUUCCCGGUGUAGUGGUGAAAUGCGUAGAGAUCGGCAGGAACACCCAGGGGGAAACCAGCCGACUGGGCAUAGGCUGACGCUGAGGUGCGAGAGCGUGGGGAGCGAACCGG
rnacentral:rRNA from 1 species